GAUGAACGCUGGCGGCGUGCCUAAUACAUGCAAGUCGAGCGAACGGACGAGAAGCUUGCUUCUCUGAUGUUAGCGGCGGACGGGUGAGUAACACGUGGAUAACCUACCUAUAAGACUGGGAUAACUUCGGGAAACCGGAGCUAAUACCGGAUAAUAUUUUGAACCGCAUGGUUCAAUAGUGAAAGACGGUCUUGCUGUCACUUAUAGAUGGAUCCGCGCUGCAUUAGCUAGUUGGUAAGGUAACGGCUUACCAAGGCAACGAUGCAUAGCCGACCUGAGAGGGUGAUCGGCCACACUGGAACUGAGACGCGGUCCAGACUCCUACGGGAGGCAGCAGUAGGGAAUCUUCCGCAAUGGGCGAAAGCUUGACGGAGCAACGCCGCGUGAGUGAUGAAGGUCUUCGGAUCGUAAAACUCUGUUAUUAGGGAAGAACAAAUGUGUAAGUAACUGUGCACGUCUUGACGGUACCUAAUCAGAAAGCCACGGCUAACUACGUG
rnacentral:rRNA from 1 species